ACGGCAGCACAGCAGUAGCAAUACUGUGGGUGGCGAGUGGCGGACGGGUGAGGAAUACAUAGGAAUCUACCUCGUUGUGGGGGAUAACGUAGGGAAACUUACGCUAAUACCGCAUACGACCGAGAGGUGAAAGUGGGGGACCGCAAGGCCUCACGCGAUGAGAUGAGCCUAUGUCUGAUUAGCUAGUUGGCGGGGUAAAGGCCCACCAAGGCGACGAUCGGUAGCUGGUCUGAGAGGAUGAUCAGCCACACUGGAACUGAGACACGGUCCAGACUCCUACGGGAGGCAGCAGUGGGGAAUAUUGGACAAUGGGCGCAAGCCUGAUCCAGCAAUGCCGCGUGUGUGAAGAAGGCCCUCGGGUUGUAAAGCACUUUUGUACGGGAAGAAAACCUAUUCGUUAAUACCGGGUGGGAAUGACGGUAC
rnacentral:rRNA from 1 species